AUCGAACGCUGGCGGCAGGCCUAACACAUGCAAGUCGAGCGGAGCGGCGGACGGGUGAGUAAUGCCUAGGAAGCUGCCUGGUAGUGGGGGACACCGUCGGGAAAGGGGCGCUAAUGCCGCAUACUAUCAGAUGAGCCUCGGGCGGAGUAGCUGGUUGGGGGGGUAAUGGCCUACCAAGGCGACGAUCCGUAACUGGCCUGAGAGGAUGAUCAGUCACACUGGAACUGAGACACGGUCCAGACUCCUACGGGAGGCAGCAGUGGGGAAUAUUGGACAAUGGGCGAAAGCCUGAUCCAGCCAUGCCGCGUGUGUGAAGAAGGUCUUCGGAUUGUAAAGCACUUUAAGUUGGGAGGCGUUACCAACAGAAUAAGCACCGGCUAACUUCGUGCCAGCAGCCGCGGUAAUUC
rnacentral:rRNA from 1 species